rnacentral:rRNA from 1 species
GACGAACGCUGGCGGCGUGCUUAACACAUGCGAGUCGAACGGAAAGGCCCUGCUUUUGUGGGGUGCUCGAGUGGCGAACGGGUGAGUAACACGUGAGUAACCUGCCCUUGACUUUGGGAUAACUUCAGGAAACUGGGGCUAAUACCGGAUAGGAGCUCCUGCUGCAUGGGGGGGGUUGGAAAGUUUCGGCGGUUGGGGAUGGACUCGCGGCUUAUCGGCUUGUUGGUGGGGUAGUGACUUACCAAGGCGUUGACGGGUAGCCGGCCUGAGAGGGUGACCGGCCACAUUGGGACUGAGAUGCGGCCCAGGCUCGUACGGGAGGCAACAGUGCGAAAUAUUGCACAAUGGACGGCGGCCUUAUGCAGCAACGCCGCGGGCGGGAUGACGGCCUUCGGGUUGUAGACCGCUUUCGCCUGUGACGAAGCGUGAGUGACGGUAAUGGGUAAAGAAGCACCGGCUAACUACGUG